GGGGGCAUAUGGCCUACAUCUCUUCCCAAAUAACAUAAAAAGAAGGAAAACUACUUGAAGAAAGUAAAGACUCACAUAUGAGAGUUUCCUGAAGUGAAGGCAUUUUCUAUUCAACAAAAUAGGAUUAUGCCUUCCCUUACUAUCAUUCAAGGUGCUUCAUAGUGUCAUUCCAACUAUUUUCCUUUCUUGAACCUAAAUGAAGCAAGAUUGAGUCUGUCCAUUCUCAUUGGUCUUACAGUUGAGUCGGGCAUGUCUUAUUCCUUUGAGAAUAUAUAAUCUAUGUCCCUUGUAGUGGCAUGUCUUGCAAGAGCUUUAGCUACACAAUUUGCCUCCCUAAAAUAAUGGACGAUCUCGUAAUUCAUAUUUUGUAUCUUCCUUUGGAUUUUGCACUCUGUAUUCCUUAGAGUGUAGGGAGGUGGAGACUAGAGUCAAUCCCUUAAUCAUAUCACUGCUAUUUGACUAUCCAUCUUCAAGAUUAUGUGAGAACUUGAGUUGUCAUGGCACCAUUCAAUUCCAUGUAAAGUUGCCUGCAAUUCACAAGAGUUGUUAGUAGAGAAUUGAAUAGAUUUACCAAAAGCCAUGACCAUCUUUCC
rnacentral:lncRNA from 1 species